rnacentral:lncRNA from 1 species
UAUUUUAAUUAUGACAUAAAAUACUCUCAACUUAAUAAUUUAUAAUUUUCUUAUAAAAUAAUUUUGAAUAGUUAACAAUUUAUUAAAAAAAUAAAAAUUUAAAAGGUUAAUUACAUAUAAUUACAUAAAGUUCUAUUAGGCGAGCCUAGUAUGUUGAGCGUUGGGCAUGUCCGAGGCUUAAGCCCGAUGGCCGAGUAGCAAGUCUUAUAAACUAAACUCACACAUAAUCCCAGGCGUAAGCCCGAUGGCCGAGUCUCAGUUCUGGUUUUUAUAACACGGAUAGCGACUGCUCAAACUAAAACUCAACCAGUCUCUGUUCCCUCAUUUUCACGUCACCUUGAUUCAUUCCCAGUUUAUUACGAUAACUGCAACAACUUGGCCGCCCGAUGGCCCUUACCUUUUCUAUGUUUAAACAUUUUAUUAUGUCCUCAUCUUUAUAUAAUUAAAAUUUAUGAUAAAAAAUCAAAUAACAAACAAAUUGCCUCGACACUUCAAUCAAUUUACGACGAUAUGCCACUCACGGCCACAGAAAUGAUACGGUCACCGCGUUUGCUUUUAAAAGGAAAAUGAUACGAAUCGUAGCUGAUUAAAAGGUCCAUUUCAUUAUUUAGCUCAAUAACCAAACAAGAACUAAACGAAGAACAGAUCAAUUGCAAAGCCACAAUCAAUGAUAUGAAUCGUAGCUGAUUAAAAGUUCCAUUUCAUAUUUAGCUCAAUCACCAAACAAAGACUAAACGAAGAACAAAUCAAUUGCUAAGCCACAAUCUUUCUGUUUGCUAUCUUUGAAUUAUCGAAACAGAAAACGAACAUUGAAAAAAAUUAAAAAGGACUUAAUUCUUCAAUAACAAUCCAUAGAGGGAGUUAAAUUUCAACACAACAAAUUCACUUCAAAUUAUAUAAAUAUAAAAAUAUAUUUUUUCGAAUUUCUCUCGCAAUUUUGAUGUUCGUUGUGCGUCUCUCCCUCUCUCUGAGAGGAGAAUAACAGCAGCAGAGUUAUGGAGUUUGCAAAUUCGGUGUCUCCAUAAUUCAUCAUUUGAAAUUUGACGAUAAAGGUAAAAAGGAUGCGUUUUUACGUGUUAUCUUUCCUUU